CUAAAAAUUUGUCGAGAGAAAACUCUGCCAUCGAGCAAUCCCACCUGCCGCCGCCGCCUCCCGAAGCAGCCAACUCCACCUCAAUCCCGACGCGCCGUCCCCCAUAUUGCACGCCCGGCCGUCUCCGCGGCCGCCCUCCCAGCUCCCUCAUAUUGCUACGCCGCCGCCGAUCCAUCUCUCCUUCGAUCGCCGCCCCCAAGCAGCCAGGCUCCUCAUCCCAGACGCGCCAAUCCCCCAUACCGAACGCCCAACCGCCCAAAAUCCCUCCGCCACCGCCCUUCCCUGGCUCCCUCCACCUAGCCGCGUCGUCGACUUUUGCCGUGCUGACACCGUCCUCCCUGGCUCCCUGUACCUAGCUGCGCGGCCAACCAGCUGUCUGCCAAUCGCCGCCUCACCGAGCUGCACCGGAAGCGCCUCUGCAUAGAAUUUCUGUCACAUCUGUACCAGCCAUAUGGCAGUGGCCGCCUAACCUACACCAGCACCAAAGACGCACCCCUGCAUAGAGUGGGCAUGGAUGUAGAAAUCAGCAAGGUACUUUUGCGUUAUCCUAGAGGAAGUAGCCGGUACUUGGCUGGCAUAGAUGGAUUUUUGGAAUUUGCAUAUAAAGAUAAGACAGAAGAUACCACGAUCCUUUGUCCAUGUGAAGAAUGCGUGCACACUAAUGUGUUGUCAAAGAAGGACGUCCGUGAUCAUUUGAUCUGUAAUGGAAUUCUUCAGAGUUAUGACAAAUGGGUUUUUCAUGGCGAAUCUUCAGAUGAGCACAAUAAUGAUCAGCAACCACAACCUCAAAAUGAACAAAUGCUUGCUGACAUGCAUGGGUUAAUUAAUGAUGCCUUUAGGAAUAUGUAUGAUGAUGUGCCAAUGAGUGAGAGUCCAGAUCUACCAAAUCAGCAUGGACCAAAUUUAGAAGCUGAAGAAUUUUACAGAUUGAUCAAUGAUUCGAAGAAGCCUUUGUGGCCGGGAUGUGGAUUAUCACUGCUAUCAUUACUUGUGAUUUUGUUUAAUAUAAAAUCCAUGAACAAAUGGUCUGAUAAGUCAUUUGGAGAUCUACUUGACACUCUACGCAUGGCAAUUCCAAACGGAAAUGAGCUGCCCCAAAAUUUCUAUGAGGCUAAGAAGAUUGUUUCCAAAUUUGGCCUAGAUUAUAAAAAAAUUCAUGCUUGACCGAAUAAUUGCCAGCUGUUCUGGAAAGACACAGAAAAUGAUGAUUUUUGCUCAAUAUGCAAGGCUUCUAGGUGGAAAGAUAAAGAACCGGGAACGAAGUUAACAAAGAAGGAAAGAAAAAAAGCAACACCAAGCAAAGUUUUACGUUACUUUCCAAUCAAGGAUAGGUUGAAAAGAUUGUUCAUGUGCAAAGAGACAGCACCUCUUUUGAGGUGGCAUGAUGAAGAGCGCAUUAAGGAUGGCGCACUACGACAUCCAGCCGAUUCCCCCGCAUGGAAGAAUUUAGAUGAAAGGUACUCAAAAAUUGCAUCUGAUGCCCGUAAUUUGCGGAUUGGCUUGGCUACUGAUGGAUUUAAUCCCUAUGGGAUGCUAAGUUGUAGUUAUAGUUGUUGGCCAGUUGUUUUGGUCAUAUAUAAUCUGCCUCCAUGGUUGUGCAUGAAAGAAUCUUACCUUUUGCUAUCUUCGAUAAUUCCUGGGCCCAAAAGUCCAGGCGAUAAUAUUCAUGUCUUUCUCCAGCCACUUUUGGAUGACUUGAAAGACUUAUUUCAGAAUGGAAUGGUCACAUAUGAUGUGUCCAAAAAUGAAACCUUUACUUUGCGAGCAGUGGUGUUAUGGACUAUAAAUGACUUGCCAGCUUUAGGAAUGGUUUCUUCACAUAAGGUGCAUGGAGAAUUUGCAUGUCUGCCAUGCGGUGCGGAUGCGUGGUCCAAACGACUGAAACAUGGAAAGAAAUCAUGCUUUAUGGGUCACUGCCAAUUUCUGCAGCCUGAUCAUAAAUUUCAUUUUGAUGAAAAGUCUUUUGAUGGAACGGUGGAGCAUAGAGCAGAGCCUCGAACUUACUAUGGACGUCAGGUUGAAGAAGAAAUAAAGGCUCUUUGUGAUUUUAAGGAGUCAAAAACUUAUAAGGGAUUAAGUAGUCUAUUUACACUACCCUACUGGGACUAUAAUCUCCUUCGACAUAAUCUUGACGUGAUGCAUAUAGAGAAGAAUGUGUGUGAUAAUAUUCUGGGUACACUUUUAGGUU